GAAGGAGCCUAGGGUAGCUGUCCCCUCGCCUCUCUCUCCCUCCCUCCCCUUCCCCUCCCUCUUCUCCCCCACGUGACCCCCAGAAGAAAGGAUGAGCCCACCUUUCCUGUGUGCGUGAGGCACUAACACAGGAAAGAUGACUUUAGCUGAGGCCAAGAAACCCUGAGGACGCUGUGAUUUCUGAGGCCAUGGCAUGAGGCGCCAUGAGUCUGGGGGUGGUGACUGUCCAGCCCUGCUCCAGAGCGUGGCCCCAUGAUGUCACUGAGGGCCUUGACACCAGGUCUCUAAAUCAGGGGCUCCUUCAGGGGCUCCCCAAUGCCGCUGUUUCUAAUGGCCUUAAUCCCAUGCUGAGGGGCAAGUUAAUUUUUCUUUUUUAGCCAUUGAAGAAACCCUUGUGUUUGAGUAGAAGAAUGGAAAAAGAGGGACCCCGGCAGGCUCCACUUGAGGAUGCUGUUUAUAAAGGUGAAAGAGGUAUGUACCGGAGCAGUCUCCAAGAGGACGUUGGGUCUGGCUCACAGCAACAAUUCCAGGUUCCCAGGAGUCCCAGAAAAGCAAAAGGGAAACUGAGGCAGGGCCACCCAGUGCAGCUCCAGAGGCGUUGAGAGUUCCGUGCUGCCUCCCUGUGGCUGCGCCUCCGUGCAGCGGCGGGUAGGACGUAAUGAAGCCGCCAGCAGAUAAAAGUCAAAAUCCCUGCUCGCAUCUAUCCUUCUGCUUCGUCAGCAGAUGCCGUCCAGGCAGAGAGUUGGACGAGUGUGAUGUGCUCCUUACAACCCUCCAGGGCAGCUGAUUUCAGCUAUUUCCAGGGUCCAGAGCCUGCACGUGCCACAGAGAGACACAUACAUCAGUAGACAGAUGCUUGUAUUCCGGCCUCUAAUACUAGUUAAUGCAAUCCCUUCCUUGUGUUCUUUAUUUUGCUUUUUCAAAAACCCAUUUAUUCCUCCAACACAUACUUUUAUAAGGCAGUUGGAUAUUAUGUUAGAUGUUGGAUAUUAUGUCAGGAUGUUAGAAAACAAUUUAGCAUGAUCCAGUGCAACUGGAGUUACACACACCCUCUGACCUAGCGGUGCUUCCAGGGGGCACGUGUCCUAGAAAACACGUGUCCAGUGUAGACUAGGAGACAAAUGCAAGAAUGCUCCUGGCCACAGGGUUCUUACAGUUGCUGCAAAUUGACAACAGACCAAACGCUCAGCGCCUGAAAAAUGGAUAAAUAAAUUGAGGUGUAUCAUUCA
rnacentral:lncRNA from 1 species